CCUACGGGAGGCAGCAGUGGGGAAUAUUGCGCAAUGGGGGAAACCCUGACGCAGCAACGCCGCGUGAGUGAGGAAGGACUUCGGUCUGUAAAGCUCUGUUAAUGAGGAAAAAUGGUAGUUGGUCUAAUAGGCCGAUUAUUUGAUGGUACUCAUAGAGGAAGCACCGGCUAACUUCGUGCCAGCAGCCGCGGUAAUACGAAGGGUGCAAGCGUUGUUCGGAUUUAUUGGGCGUAAAGCGCGCGUAGGCGGACCCGCAAGUCAGAUGUGAAAUCUCGAGGCUCAACCUCGAAACUGCGUCUGAAACUACGGGUCUAGAAUCUCGGAGGGGGAAGGGGAAUUUCGCAUGUAGGGGUAAAAUCCGUAGAUAUGCGAAGGAACACCAGAGGCGAAGGCGCCUUCCUGGACGAGUAUUGACGCUGAGGCGCGAAAGCGUGGGGAUCAAACAGGAUUAGAUACCCCGGUAGUCCACGCUGUAAACGAUGAACACUAGGUAUUGGAGGAUUUGACCCCUUCAGUGCCGUAGCUAACGCGUUAAGUGUUCCGCCUGGGAAGUACGGUCGCAAGACAAAACUCAAAGGAAUUGACGGCUGAAGACGNGCGAGCGACGACGAGGGAGAG
rnacentral:rRNA from 1 species